rnacentral:rRNA from 1 species
UACGAAGGGUGCAAGCGUUACUCGGAAUUACUGGGCGUAAAGCGUGCGUAGGUGGUUUGUUAAGUCUGUUGUGAAAGCCCCGGGCUCAACCUGGGAAUGGCAAUGGAUACUGGCAAGCUAGAGUGGUAGAGGGUAGUGGAAUUCCCGGUGUAGCGGUGAAAUGCGUAGAGAUCGGGAGGAACACCAGUGGCGAAGGCGGCUACCUGGACCAGCACUGACACUGAGGCACGAAAGCGUGGGGAGCAAACAGG